rnacentral:rRNA from 1 species
UACGUAGGGGGCAAGCGUUGUCCGGAUUUAUUGGGCGUAAAGAGCGUGUAGGCGGCCGUGUAGGUCCGUUGUGAAAACUCGAGGCUCAACCUCGAGACGUCGAUGGAAACCACACGGCUAGAGUCCGGAAGAGGAGAGUGGAAUUCCUGGUGUAGCGGUGAAAUGCGUAGAUAUCUGGAGGAACACCGGUGGCGAAGGCGGCAUCCUGGACCGGUAUUGACGCUGAGGCGCGAAAGCCAGGGGAGCAAACGGG